GGUCCCGUAGUUCAAUGGUAAAACACCCGGUUUAUACCCGGCAUUGACAGCGGACAGCUGUGUAUUGCAGGUUCAAAUCCUGCCGGGACCA
rnacentral:tRNA from 1 species